AUUGAACGCUGGCGGCAGGCUUAACACAUGCAAGUCGAGCGGGGUGAUGGUGCUUGCACUAUCACUUAGCGGCGGACGGGUGAGUAAUGCUUAGGAAUCUGCCUAUUAGUGGGGGACAACAUCUCGAAAGGGAUGCUAAUACCGCAUACGUCCUACGGGAGAAAGCAGGGGAUCUUUAUGACCUUGCGCUAAUAGAUGAGCCUAAGUCGGAUUAGCUAGUUGGUGGGGUAAAGGCCUACCAAGGCGACGAUCUGUAGCGGGUCUGAGAGGAUGAUCCGCCACACUGGGACUGAGACACGGCCCAGACUCCUACGGGAGGCAGCAGUGGGGAAUAUUGGACAAUGGGGGGAACCCUGAUCCAGCCAUGCCGCGUGUGUGAAGAAGGCCUUAUGGUUGUAAAGCACUUUAAGCGAGGAGGAGGCUCUUUUGGUUAAUACCCAGAAUGAGUGGACGUUACUCGCAGAAUAAGCACCGGCUAACUCUGUGCCAGCCGCCGCGGUAA
rnacentral:rRNA from 1 species